GGAGUGCUGUCAUUUGGGCUCGCUCAGCCUGGCAUGCAAGUGUUCGCUUUGGUUGCUAACUUCUGCCCUCUCCCAACUCGCCGACCACACUGCAGAACAGCAAGAAUGUCAUCAAACACAUGCGUUUGCCUGAUACGACUCCUGAUUGUCGUCCUCAGCUUAUUGGUCCUAGUCAGCAGAAGCAACCUUAUUGCAGGUAGCUCAGAGCCUCAGACUCAACAGGGCCAUCUUGCGGUUCUACUGAUCCGAACAAUCCCUGCCCACCACGGUGCAGUCCGUUCUCAUCUUCUUGUCAUUAGCACGUGAGAGGCUGGGCGCUCAGAUUAUACAGGAUGCAUAAAACUUGAGAAGAUUAUCUUGUUUCCUUUGAUCUGUUUUUCUUUUGAGGAAAAACACGAGAGCUUUAUUGAAUUAGUAGCAAUCCGGUAAUCGAGCCAAUCUGGAAAGUGACUAAACCAAGCAGAGACUUGAUCAAGUCUCGUGGGUUUCUUCGCCUGGUUUCCUUUGAUCCGUUAAUGCUGACACAUUUGAACGAGUGCAUUUUCCAUGUCUAUAAAAACAUGAAUUAUCAAGUAGGCUAUGUUUCUUGUAAUAGGAAUUAGUAUAUCAAGGAGUUUUGGUUAAAUUUCAUACUUAUGUAAAUGUAAGAUGCCUUUGGUUUGGUAAAUUAGUCCAUCCCGCAGUUUUCGCU